rnacentral:rRNA from 1 species
UUAACGUAGACGAAAGUUACGCUAAUACCGCAUACGAUCUACGGAUGAAAGCGGGGGACUCGCAAGAGCCUCGCGCGAUUGGAGCGGCCGAUAUCAGAUUAGGUAGUUGGUGGGGUAAAGGCUCACCAAGCCAACGAUCUGUAGCUGGUCUGAGAGGACGACCAGCCACACUGGAACUGAGACACGGUCCAGACUCCUACGGGAGGCAGCAGUGGGGAAUUUUGGACAAUGGACGCAAGUCUGAUCCAGCCAUUCCGCGUGCAGGAUGAAGGCCCUCGGGUUGUAAACUGCUUUUGUACGGAACGAAAAGGUUUCUAUUAAUACUAGGAGCUCAUGACGGUACCGUAAGAAUAAGCACCGGCUAACUACGUG